rnacentral:lncRNA from 1 species
UUUUGAGACUCCAGUGGGGAAGGAAGUGUGGACUCCGCACAGCACAAGGGAAGGCUUAGGUGUGCCUCGAGUUCCCAGCUGUGUGCUGGGUCCAUGGCAUGCGUCCCCUCUUCCAACCUCCCAGCUUCCAGAAGGUGGGGGGCAGGUCAGCCCCUCAGAGGGACUGCGAUGUCUGCGACACCAAGGAAGGGAGAAGGGUGUCUAUAAACAGGCUCACUGCCCAGGGACCUCUCAAGGGGUUCUUUGUGGGCCAAGAAAACGGGAAACACAUACACACACAGCUUUCUGAUUAUUUAAGUCCAUCUAAGCAUAUUUUGGAGGAAUGAAUGUACAUUGAAAUAAUCUUCCUAAAUAGAUUCCUUUAAGGGGAGUUUGUUCCAGCUGGAGAAGUUGUGCUCUCUGUAGAGGCUCUGAACUCCUCUGGCUACGACGACGGGAAUGCAGACAGGGAGGAGGAUGCGUGGGUGGUAGGGGGAGCAGCAGCGCCCCUACCUGCACAGAAGCUUGUCCAACCUCUGCACAAAGCGGACUCCCAGUGGUUGUUUUUGGAAGAUGCCAUUCGGUGAGGGAGCUCAAGCUGGAUGCAUGGGGUGACCACAGGGAGAGCAUCUGACAGCCCAGCUGGGUGCCUGGCUGAUAGCCCACACCAAGUACCAGGCAGCACCCAGAAUCUGACUCCUCCACCUUGGUCGUCAUGGAAAGCUCAUCUCUGGUGGCAGUGUUAUCAUUCUGUCAAUUACUCAAGAGCCCAAUACAAACAGGUAUCACAGAGGAUGUGACUGUCCACUCUGUGUACCUCCUAGCCCACUCCUUGGGGCUAAUGAAUAAUUUGUGUAUUACCAUCCACCGUUUUCUCAUUCCUUUAUACUGUUUUUAAUCAUUCAUUUUUUUUCUUUCAACAAUUGUAAAUGGAUUCCUACCCAGGGGGCAAGGCUGGCUGCCAGCACUGCCGUCGAGGCAUGGGCAGGAAGCAGUGGACUCUGACCUCAGUGCGUUUAUGGGAAGUGGAGGCAGAUGGUCAAGAAAUGAGAAUCUACACACAGGGAAGAUAAAUCUGGAUACCACAACAGUCCUGUGUUCUGCCAAACAAGCAACGACCAUGCUUCUCUAGCCAGGUGGGCCACCUCAGGACUCUUGGGCAGGAAGCACCUACUGGGCCUUGCAGGCCUCUCCCAGCCCCGCUCUGUGCACCCUACAUAACCCUAAUGAGCCUGGCCUUAGGGAAAUCUCAGUGCUGCCUAUGGUUUUGCAUAGACACCGGUGUGAAUCUGGGCUCUACCACUUACCCUCUGUGUGUUCACAGGAAAAGGAAAGAAUGGCUUUUCCUCGUAGCACGGUGGUGUCGGGAGCAACUCCCUAUUCCCAAUAUUGGGUAAGAUAGGGUUGGAUUGGGCGCGAAAAGAGCUUAGCCCAGAGGGGAGACAUGGUGCAUUUGCCAGAAAUGGUGGGUGCCACUCUAAAGGUGGGUGAGGAGAAUCUUCUCUCCAACCGUCUUCGCCCCCUGGGCACAGUGCCAUCACCUGGGAUUUGCUGCCCCCCUGCACACCUGCCCCAGGAGCAGGAGGAGACUCAAUAGAUAGCAUCAGACUAGAGACUGGGGCUGGGAACAGGGCUGGGAGCCUAGAGCAGAAGCCAGGUCCAGAGAGGGUUAAGGGGAGAGGACAGUCCCCAAGGGAACCAGAAGGAGCCCCUGGAGGGCAGGAGGCAAGUGACCAUCACCAAGGAACCCGAGGAGGAGGCUCAGGAGCAGAGGCUUCGAGAGGCUGCAGGACUGGCUGUCAGCACCGUGUUAGCCAUUAGCCAUCAUGUCCUAGUCCCUUCACGGUUCCUAGGUCAGGGUCCUCCUGCUUCUGUGACGGUCACAGCAUGUGCUCCUGUGGUCCUCCUCUGGUUGCUCUUAGGACACAGGAGGCUUACAUCACUUCAGAGUGACCGCAAGCUGCUGGGUCAGCAAUGACCUGCCCCACCCCUUCCUGAACUCAGGUCCCCUGUGCCACCCACAUCAGUGUCACAGAAUAAGGAAGUUCUCUGCUGUGUCUUCCCACAAGCAUUGGUUUUGAUUUCCCUGCUCUGACAAUAGCCCUACAGGGAUGCUGUGGAGUGACAAUGAGGAAAGCGAGCCUUGGCCACACUUCAGUCACUUUGGGCAGCAGGGACCAGGAAGGCAGGAGGCCAGGGGACAGGCAGGAGGACAGGUAUCCACACCCUGGAGAAAGGUCUCGAAUAAGACUCAGCGCCCCCAGAGAGUAGGCUCCAGAGCAGCCGACCCUACGUCCCCUACUAUAGCCAGCACAGGGCAUGCCUGCUGCAUCCAGGGCCCUGCAGGGCGUGCAGUGCAGAGAGCAGAGUGUGUCCUGGGUCUUGAUCCCAGGCCCUGGGAAGGGAAGGAGACAGACAUGCUGAGCCCUUGUUUGUGUCAGUCCAUCUAAUUACGGCAAACUAGAGCAAGGGGUGCUUUCAUCCCCAUUACUCCUCUAGAGGAGAUACGAGAGGCUCUGAAAGGUACCUAGAC